GGCAGAAAAGCCAUGCUUCCUGUGGUCACAAAGGACUACGAUCUAUCUUUUGAACCACUGGACCAAUUUGUAUGAUUUUGACGUAUGUUUGUAUUUGGAGUAUGCUGAUUCUGAAAAUGUAAGUUAUGUGAAUGUGAUGCAUAUUUUUCAAGUUAUGAAUAAUGUGGAAAAAUUGUAUUUCUCUGUUUGUGCUAAAUUAUAUUACCCAUUGUGUAAGGUAAUUGAAUCAAAUGCAGAGGGGAGGAAUUUGUGUGGGAGUGUCUGAGUGUAUUGUAUGUGUUUAUUGGUUGUGUUCCAAAAACCUUGUGGGUGGUACUAAUGUGUAAGAAUGUGUAUAUAAGCACAAUAAACCCACAGCUCUGUCUGUUCACUGCUUGACCCUCAACACGGAGCUUUGUCUCGUUCUUGGGGGGGAUUAA